GCGACCCCAGGACGGGCGAGGCCACCCGCCGAGUUUAAGCAUAUCAAUAAGCGGAGGAGNAG
rnacentral:rRNA from 1 species